rnacentral:rRNA from 1 species
AUUGAACGCUGGCGGCAUGCUUUACACAUGCAAGUCGAACGGCAGCGGGGAGGAGCUUGCUUCUCUGCCGACGAGUGGCGAACGGGUGAGUAAUACAUCGGAACGUGUCGAGAAGAGGGGGAUAACCACCCGAAAGGGUGGCUAAUACCGCAUAAAUUCUGAGGAAGAAAGCUGGGGACCUAGGAAUAGGCCUAGCGCUUUUUGAGCGGCCGAUGUCGGAUUAGCUAGUUGGUGAGGUAAAGGCUCACCAAGGCGAAGAUCUGUAGCGGGUCUGAGAGGAUGAUCCGCCACACUGGGACUGAGACACGGCCCAGACUCCUACGGGAGGCAGCAGUGGGGAAUUUUGGACAAUGGGGGCAACCCUGAUCCAGCCAUGCCGCGUGUAUGAAGAAGGCCUUAGGGUUGUAAAGUACUUUUGUUAGAGAAGAAAAGUCAGCUGUGAAUAAUGGCUGAUACUGACGGUACCUAAAGAAUAAGCACCGGCUAACUACGUG